GGGUUUGUGGGGUCCUGGUGGGGUCACUGGAGGCCCCUGGAAGGGUCCGGAGGGGGUCCUGGGGAGGUUUUGGGGGAGUCCUGGGUGGGUCCUGGGGAGGUUCUGAAGGGUCCCUGGGGGUCCUGGGGGGUCCCUGGGGGAUUUUGGGGGGUCCCAAGGAGUUUUGGGGAUCCCAGGGAGAUUUGGGGGUCCCAGGCAGGUUUGGGGGGUCCUAAUGGAGGUUUGGGGGGUCCCAGGGAGGUUUGGGGGUCCCAGGGAGGGGCGUGGUCUAUGCAGGGAGGGGGCGUGGCCAAAGGCGAUCCACAGAGACCCCCCCAUUACCCACAAUGCCCUGGGGUGAUCCCUAACCCCGCCCCCUCAUUGGUGAUGACAUCAUUAGCCACACUGAUGACGUCACUCGUCAUGUUGACACGGCCGUGGUGAGGUCACUGGACACGCCCACCCCAUCGGUGACGCCAUCGGCCACGCCCACCCUGUCAGCGAUGUCAUUGGACACAUUGAUGAUGUCAUUGGCCACGCCCACCCUGUCAGCGAUGUCAUUGGCCACACCGAUGAUGUCAUUGGCCACGCCCACCCUGUCAGCGAUGUCAUUGGACACACUGAUGAUGUCAUUGGCCACGCCCACCCUGUCAGCGAUGUCAUUGGACACACCGAUGAUGUCAUUGGCCACGCCCACCCUGUCAGCGACGUCAUUGGCCACAAUAAUGAUGCCACUGGGCUGGGAGGGGCCUUGUGCAGGGGGCGUGUCCCAGGUGGGCGUGUCCCAGGUGGGCGUGUCCAUUGGGCGUGUCCAGGUGGGCGUGUCCCAGGUGGGCGUGUCCAUUGGGUGUGUCCAGUGGGCGUGUCCAGUGGCUUUGUCCAAUAAACACAUCCCAGGAGGCCAUGUCCAUUGGGUGUGUCCAUUGGGUGUGACUGUUGGGCGUGUCCAUUGGGUGUGUCCCAGGUGGGCGUGUCCAUUGGGUGUGUCUAUGUCCAUUGGGUGUGUCCCUUGGGCGUGUCCAGUGGCUUUGUCCAAUAAACACGUCCCAUGUGGGCGUGUCCCAGGUGGGUGUGUCUGUUGGGCGUGUCCUGUGGGUGUGUCCAUUGGGUGUGUCACAGGUGGGCACGUCCCUGGUGGGCGUGUCAAUGGGCACCUCCAUUGGGCGUGUCCCAGGUGGGCGUGUCCAUUUGGCGUGUCCCAAGUGGGUGUGCCCAUUGGGCGUGUCCAGUGGGCGUGUCCAGUGGGUUUGUCCAAUAAACAUGUCCCAGGUGGGCGUGUCCACUGGAUGUGUCUAUGUCCAUUGGGUGUGUCCAGUGGGUGUGUCCCAGAUGGGUGUGUUCCGAGUGGGCGUGUCCCAGGUGGGUGUGUCCAUUAGGCAUGUCUAUUGGCUGUGUCCAUUGGGUGUGUCCAGUGGGAGUGUCCAUUGGGCCUGUCCAUUGGGUGUGUCCAUUGAGCCUAUCCCAGAUGGGUGUGUCCAUUGGGCGUGUCCAUUGGGUGUGUCCAUUGGGCGUGUCCAUUGGGUGUGUCCAUUGGGUGUGUCCAUUGGGCGUGUCCAGUGGGAGUGUCCAUUGGGCGUGUCCAUUGGGUGUGUCCAUUGAGCCUAUCCCAGAUGGCUGUGUCCAUUGGGUGUGUCCAUUGGGCGUGUCCAUGGGCGUGUCCAGUGGUUUUGUCCAAUAAACACGUCCUAGGUGGGCGUGUCCA
ensembl:lncRNA